UGGGGAAUAUUGGACAAUGGGCGCAAGCCUGAUCCAGCCAUGCCGCGUGAGUGAUGAAGGCCCUAGGGUUGUAAAGCUCUUUCACCGGUGAAGAUAAUGACGGUAACCGGAGAAGAAGCCCCGGCUAACUUCGUGCCAGCAGCCGCGGUAAUACGAAGGGGGUUAGCGUUGUUCGGAUUUACUGGGCGUAAAGCGCACGUAGGCGGACUAUUAAGUCAGGGGUGAAAUCCCGGGGCUCAACCCCGGAACUGCCUUUGAUACUGGUAGUCUUGAGUUCGAGAGAGGUGAGUGGAAUUCCGAGUGUAGAGGUGAAAUUCGUAGAUAUUCGGAGGAACACCAGUGGCGAAGGCGGCUCACUGGCUCGAUACUGACGCUGAGGUGCGAAAGCGUGGGGAGCAAACAGG
rnacentral:rRNA from 1 species